CGGAACAUCACACACUCAGGCCUAUCAGAGGGUGAGGGGCAAGGGGAGGAGAGCAUUAGGACAAAUACCCAAUGCAUACAGGGCUUAAGACCCAGAUGAUGGGUUGAUAGGUACAGCAAACCACCAUGGCACAUGUAUACCUAUGUAACAAACCUGCACGUUCUGCACAUGUAUCACAGAACUUGAAAAAAAAACAAAAAUUCUCAAUGUCAAUUUCCUUGGUAGUCAGUGGUACUCAGAGCAAUCUAGAACAUGUUGUCAAAAUUUCAGAUUUCCAGCUUUGAAAAUCAGUAAACAAUUUUCAAAGGAAAAAUAAACAAUUUUUCAGAGGAAAAAUAAACAAUUUUUCUUCCAAAUUUUAGGCAAAGAACUUCAUGGUAUUAUUUUGAAGCAAUUUCCAGUUGUUGUAUUAAAAGACAAUAGUUUUCUCAACUUCAGUUUUUAACUGUAAAAUUCUUGGACUAGAGUAUAUCCUAUUCCGUUGUAUUAUUUCUGCCUCAACAGGAAGUGGAAGGUUGUAUGACAGGAAGUGGAAGGUUGUAUGACAGGAAGUGACCUCGCAAGAGACACCCAAAUAUCUCACAGCAGGCUAACUCUUCUCUACUACACUAUUCCAUCAUGCUCCACCCUUUUGGAAUAUAUUCCUUCUGUAUCGCUCUUCUGACUCCAAAGCUAGCACAUGUAUUCCAUUAAUGCCCAGAGAGAGAUGAGACCCCAUACAAACACACAUCUCCCUGGACACCUCUCCUGUGCAAAGCAUCUCAUGUUCGUGUCUUAAGCACUAGGACCAAGAACAAAGUCAACUGGCCUCCAGAUGUGAAAGGCCCACCAGCCAGCAGAGUGCAAGAACAAUCCAAAUGUAUCAAUAUCUUUAGAAAACAUAGAUUGCUAAAGAAAAUAGACACUAAGCCUUUUGAUAUCAUUUUCAUUAUUUUCCCUGAGAUGACUGGGACAUGCCCCAUUUUUCUAGUUUAGUUUUUAAAACUAGCAAAACAUUAAAAAAAAAAAUCCUCCAGCAUGUGAGUGAGGCUAUCUGAGCAUAUAAUACAAUGCUGAGCUCUUCAGAAUAAUAUAAUGUCCCAGCCUUAUUAGCAUUAUAGCUGAGUUAGCCAGUUCCAAGAGUGGGUGGGAAACCUCAGUAUUCACCAUCUUCAUUCAGUGUGGGCUCGAAAAUAUUCUGUGUACAAUGGGAGUUUCUUACCUGAAAAUGAAUGUGAUUUAGCUCACCUGACUAAAGUUUCAACAGCUAUGCAUUGUUACGGUGAAAGAUUGCUGCAGUUGGCUUUGAUUGGUACUGUUUUGGAAAAGAAAUACUUUUGGAUUUUUUUUCUUUUAUAAAAAGGGCGAUACAAGUGUAAGUCCUGAGCUCCUAUUAAUAGCCCCAGCAAGCGCAGCAGCAAAACCCAGUGCAUGCCCGUUUUCAAGUGCUUCUGAAAUGACAGGAGCUUUCAAACAGAACUGGGCAAUGCAUUUUUCCAAUGCCAAUGCAUGCUGGUGCUGCUGUGGCCUGUCAAAUACAUAAUAUUGAAAAGCCCAACUGGGCACCUAUUUGCUACAAUGUUCUUGGCUGUUCUCCACCCAUCAUGUCCCAAGAUAGAAUCUGCUCAGAACAGCAAGUCUAUUCUUAGGUGCUUCCUGUAGUGAGCAUUAACAAAACGAUUGGAAUCUAUGGAAACAGGUAGGGACGAUGUAAGGGGAGGCAGGUGCAAAAAUCUUCCAGGAGCAACCUCAGAAGAGAUAUUGCAUGCACUAUGCUUUAGCGGUGACCAAGGCUUCUACCUCAAAAACAAACCUUAAGUGAAAGUUGUCUUUUCUAGGACCAUGCACAGAUGGGAAUAGAUACAGGACUCUCUGAAACAUACCUGCUAUUUACACAGUACUUUUCUAAGUGAACAGAGUACACUCUACAAGCUCUCUUGAGAGAGCAGAAAAAGUGCUCAAAUCCUUAAUUUUAAGUUUCUGCUCCCAAUGCACAAGAUCUGCGAAAAGAAAGUCAUGGGUCUGUAUAGACUGGGCUUUUGUCCCUCUCUCAUUUCAUUCCUCAUGUUCAAUCAUCUAUUUGACAUGUUUCUAAUACCAAACUGACCGCAUCCAUCUACUCAGGACAGUCACACUUUCCUAGGGAGGGACUGUUUUCUGACUGCCCUGAAAUUAAUGCAUUCCAUUCCCCCAUUUGUACAUGUUUCCUGGACUCCCAAACCCUCCCUGAGCCUGGCUCUGGGAUAAUAAUCCCCAUUUGGUUGACUGGGACCAUCUGCUAACCCUGCCAUUAAACUCCACUACUGACUGCAAGCUAGGGCUCUCCCGGCAGGGCAUUGGUGCCCAAGUGCUGAGCAACGUACCUUCUCUCAAAUCCCCUACAGAGUUGCAUCCUACAGUUACAGAUGUCUUCAGAGCAAGAAAUGAAGGGCAUGGGGUUAUCAGGAAUGAGGACCAGGUGAGAGAAGGAACCAAAAGCUUAUUACCAAAAUGCAGAUCCAAGGUACCAUUAGAAAAAAUUUAGUCACGUUGAUGUUUCACUGAAAACCUGCCAUAGUGGAGAAAUUGUGAACUCAAAUCCCAUAUUCGUUUUUAAAGUUGUUCUCUUAAUUUUUGCUGCUAAUAAAACAAAUAGACAAAUUAAAGAAGCUUCAUUCAUAGGUAAUUAUUUCUGUUUUUGUUGUGGUGUUGUUAUUUUUGUCAUUCUCAUUCCCAGGUUGUUACUAUAAGGAAGAAACAAAAGUAGUCAAUCAUAUUUUUUGCCAAUGGUUUCUGGGUGGUUUUUAUUUUUUAAUUGCCCAUAUGUGUUCUGAAAGAUCAGCUUACUUCAGUUGUUGACUCUCUGAGAUCUAAUCAGACAUCUUAACAGAUAACUUUGUAAUUCAUAAGUAUUGUCUCCUAGGCAGGAUGUCUUACGAAGAGUUUUCUGGGUAAUGUAUUCCUUCAAACAAAUUAAAACAACACGGAGAGCAGCGUAACAUGACAAACAAUGCCAUCCCAACUCUGGAAAACACUGCUGUACCCUAGGUCAACCCACAGUGCCCUGUCUAAGCAGCCAAGAACCAGUGAUGCAAACAUGCGAGAAGAAAGUGGUUAUAAUUUGAGGUUGAGGAGCAGAGGAUGUUGCAAAAACAAGCGAGGUCAAAGCUAAGAGUCAGGGCUUUAGUUUUGAACUAUGUGCUUAGGACUUUGCUGAAUGGCAUUUGAAACAUCUGAACACCCCUAAAUGGGGUUAGUUGUGUGUUUUUGUUUUUUGUUUUUUUCUGAAUUUAAAUGAUUGGUGGCAACCAUCCCAACAUUAUCACACUUUCUAUGACUGAAGAUGGAUUUAGUGGUGAGUUUUAAGUUCCAUUAUUAGCUCAGAUUUUCUCUGGAAAAUUUAUUUUGUCAAAACAGAUCAUUGCAAAGUGGCUUUCCUCACUACUCAUGGUGAUAAAGGGCAAUAAUUGCAUUGUAAAAGUUAUUUGGUCAUUUUACUACAAUGUGGGAUGAAAAUUCUUCUAAUAAAUAUGCCCUAAUGACUACUGGUUUUAAGUAUAUUUAGGCACAUCAUUGUAAUUAUUUAUACUUUAGUGUAAUAUAUUAGCGAAAUAAUAUGCAUGAAGAAAAUAUCGAUAUUAAGUCACAUGUACACUUACUUAGCCAGAGUUCGUUUGGGGGAUAAAAAAGUCCCUUAAAUGAACCAAUAACAAUAAACUGUUUUAAAAUACUUCUGCAGUAGCAGUAAUUCUAUACAAAUAUAAAUGUGUUAUGUAAGUAUAUUCUCACGUUUUCAGCAAGACUGAACUUUCAUGCAAAACUAAAUUAAGAGUAGAGAAUCGAUUUCUAUGAUUACCCAAUGGAAUAUUUUAAGUGGAUUUCAAGUUGCAGCCAUUUUUAUAGGCAAAUUCUUUACAAGUUACUUAGUUAUAUUUUAUUAUAUAUAAGAAAACAAAACAUUACCAACACAAUGCUGCCAGUGCAAUGCCAGAAAGGUACAUUGUACUGGCAUCGGUGGUUAUGGAACUCACAUUAGCAAGGUCAGCGAUUUAUCUUGGAAGAAUUUCAGAAGCAAAAACUUGAGAUGGAGUUUCAAACCCAGGCUAUAAAGCAAAAUCUGUAGCACUGUAUAUUUAUUUGAGAGUCUUUAGGUUUAACAUCUGAUAAUACAUCCUGAAAUAAACCCUUCAUUCCCACACCAGUGUCCCCAUGUAUUACGCAUGUGAAGAAGGUUAUCAUUUAUUUUAAGGAAGUAUUAAAGUAGAGGUGAAGGUAAAUGAUGUAUCAAGUUUUAAAUUACAUUGUUAUUAUAUUAUUAUUAUUUGGUUAUUGGUUGUGGCUUUAACUACACCUUGUUUUUUAGCUAAUAAUAAUAAACUAUUUGUCCUCAAAGAGGCUGCUUUAAGUAAGGGAUGGCAGGGAGGAUUCAAAUCCUGGUUCUAUUGGUCUGGCUUAUAGGCUUUGGGGCAGCUUCUUUCCUUUCUAUACUGCCGGAUCCUUAAAUGACAUAUCUGCCUGCAAUAAUGAAUAAUAUCUCCCUCAUGGGACUUUGGUGAAGAUUAAAGGUGUUAAUAUUUAUGAAGCACUUUAGUUACAUGUGCACAUAGGGAAAGUGGAGUAGUCGAUACUAACUGCUGUUAUUCAGAGGGGAAUAUAAUAACAUGAGCGUGGGUUUACUUCUCCUUGCCCUUCAGACUUGAAUCUUACAGGCAGUGAAGCUGGGGAUCGGGUUGUCAUUAAUUUAUUUUCCACAGUGUCUGCAGAAGGAUUCCUGACUGAUGAAGGGAGUGACCAGAGAACAUCAUAGCACGUCCAUGUAUCCCCAAGGAAAUCCUCCUUGUGGUUUCAGCUGCUAAAUUACUUUAGCGUAGCUGCUUUUCUGAUGUGUUUGUGUUAUUGUAAAUUGUAUAAUAAUGUAAAUUUAUCAGCAUCUUUCGGAGCGAGGAAGAUUUUUCUCCAGGUGGCACAUUGUCAAGGACAAAGGAAGAAAAGAACGAAUUGAACCAAAAUCAACCCUCAAGAGGCAGUGAUCAAAUAACAUACUGCAGAUGGUCAGCAAAAGAAACGGGGCAGCAACUUAUACCUCUAGCCAAAAAUACUGCUUCAUUUAUUGUUUGUUGUUUUUAUUCAUCACUUUUAUUUGAUUCAAAAUUAAUGAAUCCAUAUUGGGGAAAGAAAAGCUUGACAGUGGCCUGUUUUGAGAAAAACAUUCAAAACGAUUUCAGGAUUUCAAAUUUGGCUCAUCAUUUUAAAAGAAUAAAUAAUAAAAGCAGGAAAAAAAUUGCCUCUCAUUUAAAACUUAUCGGCUACAUGAAACAUCUGCAGUUGCAGCAGAUAGACAGUAGCAGAGGCAAGUGCUGAACACUAUUUGGCAACACAGGAAAUGGACACAGGCAAUGUGCUCCGAGUACCCUAUUUAUGCAUCAAGCAAAUCAGCAUCAUCUAUAAUGUGGGGAUAGAAACGAUUUGACUUUUGCUUUGAAAGAAGACACAUGCAGAAGUACUGGGGUAAUACUUCAGUCACACUGAUCUCCACGAGGCUGGCAUUAGAGAUGUUAACCUCAGGUUACAUUGAUUUUAUAAUAAAGUUUUCUCUUUCUGACUCUGAGCAGGAUAUUCAGUCUAUUUUCUCCCCACAAAAUCGGUAAAUCAAAAGUAUGAUAACUCUUUUCCUGUUCUAACAUAACCACCUUUUUGGAGCAAAUGCAAAUGCCCUAUAUUUCAAAUGAAUACAUGCUAUGGAAUAGGAAGACUUUUGAAAAAUUUAAAUAAUGGAAAAUUUCCAAUAUCCACAAAUGUAGAGACAUAAUGAAUUCCAUCACCCAGUUUCAAUAAUCGUCAACAUAUGGCAAUCUUAUUUCAUAUAAGUUCCCACCUACUUUUCUCCAUCUUGGGUUGUUUUGAAGUAAAUCCCAGAUAUCUCAUCAUUUUGUCUGCAUACUCAUCAGUAUAUGUUGCUAAAAGACACUUAAAAGAAUGUAUAAUCACUACACCAGUAUCCCAACUUAAAAAAAAAUAAGAAAAAUUCUCAAUGCACACUUAUAACAUGUAUCUGAUUAUAUAAUAAAUGUUAUAAUCAGUUAUUCACUGGAAUUCUUCAAAAAGGAUAACAUUUCCUUCUUCGAUUUCUUGGUACAGCCUGAGGUACAACUUGCAAAGGAAAAGCAGAAAAAAAAAGCGUGAUUCUUUUAUUUAAGUUUUCGGAAUGUUGACUUGUGCUCUGCCCCUAGCAUUCUCUAAAAGUUACCAAUUUCCUUGUAUUAUUAUUAUAAAUCCAUGAAAUUUUAACACACUUAAUGCAUUCCAAUUAACUGUGAAUAUUGUUUCUGAUUUUCAAAAUGUGCCACUGGUCACUAGCGAAAGUCCUUUCAAGUUGGCAUGACCUCAGCAGUCUCUGGCUUCUUAGGUGUCUGGUGCAACAAGAUACUCUACACUCAUCCUGAACAUUUCCUGCCCCAGACCUGGAGUCUGGCAUUUCUCCAAGAAGAACUAUUUCCCUUAAGUGGUAAAUUACUGUUAAAAAGCUACAUGCGAAUGCCUGAAGUAAGUGCUCAUUGCUAUUAGGUGGGUUGCCUGUUAUGCAUGAAAGUUUUGCUUUCUGUAGCUAGGGAUGGAGGUAAUAGUCACAUCAUGGACAAAAAUAACUGACCAUUGAUAGCGCCCUCCACAUUGAGUAAAAGUGUGGAAAGGCUUCAGGGUACAAUCAUUACUGUCCUUUGAAAAAAUUCUUAAGUAAAAAUAAAAUUUGGAUUCGCAACAUCUAGAAUCAAAUUUAAUAUGUUACAUGAAGAAGCAUAAGAGAUGAUAUAUUUUAUAUUAAAUUAAAUAAGGUAUAUAAAAGAUUCAAGCAAUGUCUGAUUGAGAACAGAUGCUUAAUAGGUGGUUACUUCCUUUUCUUUUUCUUUUCCCCACCUAAGAAAAAUGUAGUGAAGCCAUACAUAAACCAAUAGUUGAGCUUACUUUAAUUCAAAACUAAAUUCCCUAUUUCAUCUUCAUCUUUUAAUUUUAUCUCAAAAUAUUUUUUCUCUCAAAUGAAUAUAAACAUUCUUACAGAAGAUGCUUUGUAAUGAAAUUAAAAUACCUCUAUAUGCAUCUCCAGAGCCUGAUAGCAAAAUAAACACUUAUUAAUAGCCUCUAGUUUAUGACUACCUAACUUGAUAAUAACUAAAUAAGUAUAGUAAUGAAAUAUUUCUCAGAUGCUUACCAGAUGUCAGGUAUAUAUCUACAGAUAGCCACUUGCCCACUAUUAAUGGAACUUUUUGCUCAAUUAUCUCCUUUUGUUCAUAAGUCUUUGAGACAGUGGGGGAAAUCUCUGGUAUCUUCAUUUUGAAUUUUCUCUGCAUCCUUUGGAGCCUCUUCCAACUAUGCAUAAUUUGGGGGAGCUGUCCAGAUGCUGGAGCCACACCCAGUCUCCACUUUGACUCAUGGUUGGUUGAGGUAGUUGGUGGAUCCAUUUGGGAUUAGAGGGCAUACAGAGGUUAAUAACUCCAACAGGUGGAGAGCUCAGGGAACAUUUAGUCAACCUGAUUAAAUGACCAAGAAACAGAAGACAAAAGGAUAAUGUGUUGUAACAUCUUUACUGAAUAAAAUGGCAUUUAGGCAAUGGAGAUAUCUGGAGGGAAAAUAACACUUCUAAGAAUGUAAGCAACGUUAAAAUAUUUGAUCCAGUUUUGGAUAAAGUUAAUCCAAUUAAACAAACAAAAUGAGAUUUAGGUAUACUUAGCUAAAUGUUAUGUAUUUUAAAGACUUCAUUUGAAUCAUUGAACUUCAUCAGCACAUGGCUAGGAGGCAGACCAAGUGCGAAUCUGUGGAGUAAAUCCCUCAGGCUGUGCUCCAUAGGUGUGUGGCUGGGCAUCUGUAGACUCAGAGAUUUUUCUGAGUUAGAACUAAAAUGGAAAGGUUGCUAAAUAAUUGUGUUUGGAUCCAAUUGUUUACAUUUACUGUCUGUAAUUUGGAACCAGAAUCCCCAUAGCGUAGCUUAAUAUGUAUUUUAAAAUGUAAAAUGCAAGCACAUAUGGCUAAUUACUGGUUAAUUUUUUAGCUUUGGACUAACAUUUCUCUGCCACACCAUGGAGGCAAUGGUAAAGAUUUUUCUGUUUUUGAGGAAACAAUCUUAAUGGCUAUAUAUAGAUCAUAAAUGGUUGGCAAAAGAUGCAUUUGAAUCUAAACCAAAAUUAAAAUGUUUUAAAUUAUCUAACUGCUGCCAGAUAUUCAAACGGGGAAGAUUUGUACUAGAAAGUGUUCACAGUUUCCAUACACAUUCACGCUCACUCCACUCUACCCUCCCUCCUCUACUGUUCUCUCUCCCCUUGCGCUCUCCCUCUUCCUUUCUCUUGUUCUUGCUCACAUGAAAGAAAUGCAUACAGAUUAUCACAACACUAAUGGCAUAUAAGAAUAGUGACAGAACUGAUCACUGAAUUCUUCGGUUAUGAACAGAUCAUCAACUGGAAUCUUCCUUAAUUUCCACCUUAAAUAAGACAGCGUAUAUUAGAACAGCCAAUAUCACUUGCAAUAUAAUUCCUCUUCCUCUAUUCAUCUGUUUGAUGUAGAUAUCCUCAGGCCAGCUAUGUUUUCAUCCCAUACCAACUGUCUGAGUGCUCUCAGUCAGACUCAUGGAUUUCACUGACAUCCAUAUAGUGAUGACUCCUGAAUCUCUAUUUUUAGCCUCUGCAUUUUUCUUACCUAACAGAAGUGCACAUUCAACUGUCUGCUGGCUAUCUGCAUGUGAUGAUCCACAGCCUUUAAAGCUCCAAAAUGUUAUAGUAAAUUUAUCAACACCAUCCUUCCCCAAAUUGUUUUCUUUUUAAAUUCUCUCAUUCAAAGAAUGGCACCACUAUCUUCCAACCACCUGAGUAAAAAACUUAAAGUUGUAUUUUUUUUCUUAUUCUCCUUCAUUCUUUGCAUUCAGUUGGCUACCAAGUCUUAUAAAUUCAACCUCCUUAACACUGCUGGAAUCUAUUUCCUCAGUUUCCUCCAUUAUGUUACUGCUUUAGUACAGCGUUCAUCAGUGCUCUCUCAGAUCAUUGCAACAGAGUCCUAAAUUAUCUCUGUCUCUCUCUGCCUUUUUUCUCAAUGCCCCCAUGAACCUCUCUGCUUCUGCUAGAGUUAUCUUUCUAAAAUAGUUACCUUUCAAAAUUUAUAAAAUACAAAUCUUUCCGUUGCGCCCCCACUGUCAGGGCCCUGUGAAAAUUGUACUGCUCUUCGUCUCCACUCCAGACUCAGCGUCCAUGGUUCACUCAUGCAACCUAAACUUGCAGCUCCUAGAACAUGGCUUGUUCUCUUAUCAUCAGUUUCUCUGAACAGACUGUUCCCUCUACAAGAAUGCCCACUCUCUCCUUAUCAGCCUAACAUGUACUUGAACUUAGAGAUUCAGAUAAACAUUGAGGCUCUGAUAAAAUAAUAUUUCCCUUAAGAAGCCUUCCUUCUCCCACUUCUAUGAGUUAGAAACCCUGCCUCUGUAUUCCCAUAGCCUGCUUACAGACCUCUACGACAUCACAUGAAAGAUGACGAGCUCCAUGAGGGCCAAGGCUGUCCAUUCUUGUUCACCACUGCACACCCAGGAGCUCAUGGCAUGCUGUCUGUGCUAGUGCUAUCCUCAACAGAAUAAUUGCUGACAAACUCUCUUGCCCAGAAAAUGUCUAUUGGAAUUAUGGAGUACAAAAGAACUACAAAAGCAAUGAAGAAAAGAAGGAUGUUUUAUUUACAUCCUAUUUCAAAACCAUUGCUUUCUUGCUAUUGUAUGUCUCUGCAGGCCCAAUACCGUGCAUCUGUGUAAGAAGUUUAGAAUUGUUCCUUAUGUUUCCUUCUAACACUGGUAUAUUCACUUGAAAGUGUAGAUUUUAUUCACUUCUAAAACAGUUAGCUCAUAAUUCGGAACACUGAGGUUUGCAAAAUGACUGAAGGAAACUUUACCCAAACAAUAGCUGCCGGUUCUGCUGAGAAUGAUCACAGGCCCACAAUAGCCGUGUGUUUUUCCGUGUAGACAUUCUGAUUUUUUUAUUAUACAGCUAAUUUUUUUUAGACUCAUGAGUAAAAUAGCAAGUCAGUCUGUGCAUAAGCAUAUGUUUAAAUCUACUGGGAGAAAUGUCUGGAAUCCUUCUGGUUAUUAAAAUUAAAAAUCAGAAUAAUGAAAGGCAUAUGCAACUUACUGUAUUCUUUAUAUAACUCAUUUCAUCUAGUCCUCCAAAUAGCUAUAUGACAUAUUUAUCCCCACCUUACAUAAAUGUUAACCAAAGUUUGUACGGUUAGUUCAUUUGUCCACAGUUACCCAGAAAAUUGUUUGUGGAGCUCAGCACAAGGCUGACUGCCAGACUCCAAAGUCUAUGUUCCUUCUACUACCACACGUUGCCUUUGCUGUUCUUAUAAAAGUUGAAAAAAUAUCCUUCUGCUUUUCCUACUUUUCCAAAAACUAUUUAUGAUGACAAAUCCAGUUUUUUUUGUAUGUAGCCCUUUAGCAUUUCAAUGCAUGUAGCAUAAGGCAUGUGCAUUUGUGCAUGCCUUUGUGUGUGUGUUCAUGCACGUGUGUGUGGGUGCAUG